UACGUAGGGGGCUAGCGUUAUCCGGAAUCAUUGGGCGUAAAGCGCGUGUAGGCGGUCCGGUAAGUCCGCUGUGAAAGUCGGGGGCUCAACCCUCGGAUGCCGGUGGAUACUGUCGGGCUUGAGUACGGAAGAGGCGAGUGGAAUUCCUGGUGUAGCGGUGAAAUGCGCAGAUAUCAGGAGGAACACCAAUUGCGAAGGCAGCGCGCUGGGACGUUACUGACGCUGAGACGCGAAAGCGUGGGGAGCAAACAGG
rnacentral:rRNA from 1 species